ACACGGAGGGUGCGAGCGUUGUUCGGAAUCACUGGGCGUAAAGCGGGUGUAGGCGGUCUAGCAAGUCAGAUGUGAAAGUCCAGGGCUCAACCCUGGAAGUGCGUCUGAAACUGUUAGACUUGAGUACUGGAGAGGGAAGUGGAAUUCCUGGUGUAGGGGUGAAAUCCGUAGAUAUCAGGAGGAACACCGGUGGCGAAGGCGACUUCCUGGACAGAUACUGACGCUCAGACCCGAAAGCGUGAGGAGCAAACAGGAUUAGAUACCCCAGUAGUCC
rnacentral:rRNA from 1 species